rnacentral:rRNA from 1 species
CCUACGGGCGGCUGCAGUGGGGAAUAUUGGACAAUGGGCGAAAGCCUGAUCCAGCCAUGCCGCGUGUGUGAAGAAGGCCUUCGGGUUGUAAAGCACUUUCAGUGGGGAAGAAAGCCUUGGGGCUAAUACCCUCGAGGAAGGACAUCACCCACAGAAGAAGCACCGGCUAACUCCGUGCCAGCAGCCGCGGUAAUACGGAGGGUGCGAGCGUUAAUCGGAAUUACUGGGCGUAAAGCGCGCGUAGGCGGUCUGAUAAGCCGGUUGUGAAAGCCCCGGGCUCAACCUGGGAACGGCAUCCGGAACUGUCAGGCUAGAGUGCAGGAGAGGAAGGUAGAAUCCCCGGUGUAGCGGUGAAAUGCGUAGAGAUCGGGAGGAAUACCAGUGGCGAAGGCGGCCUUCUGGACUGACACUGACGCUGAGGUGCGAAAGCGUGGGUAGCAAACAGGAUUAGAUACCCUGGUAGUC